UUAAGAAACUCAACUGUCUGUCAUGUAAACCCGAAAAUACAAAUAAAAAAUCAUUAAACUCAUGAAGUC